GGAGUGAGGAAAGGGAGGGAGGAACGGGAGGAUAAAGUGAGGGAGGACAGAAGAGAGCUCUGCUUUUUACAGUUAAGAACCUUGAGUGGUAUUGAUUAGAACACUCAGGCUGUAGAACACUCCGGAAGGUUCCGUCAGUGCAUUAACACAGAGCUGCUGAUAAGGAACGUUGUUAUUCCUGCUUAUGGUAAUGGACUGUGGAAGCAUGACUGUGCUGUCCUAGGCUGGUUAUAGUAGAGAGAAAUAAGGUAGGGGUCCAGCAAGAGAUUCUAUGAGAGCCUUUAUCAGGGAUGUGAUCAGGACAACAGGUCAGUUUAAAUUCUAUUUGAAUAGAGGACAAAAUGGUCAGAAAGGCCUAAUUAAAAUCAGGAAGAAUCACAACACUCAAUUGUACGGAGAUCGGCGUUUUGAGCAAGAGGUUCUACCAGAGAACCGUUCUAUGGUUCUAUUGGUUCCAGGUGCUAAAGGAAAAGAUUGGGGAAUAUUGAGAUGAUUCCACUGCACUUCAAUGCAUCACGUUAUUUAUUUCAAUUUAAAAUUGUAUUUUUUAUUUUGUAUUAUGUUAAAAAUUAUAUUGUAUGUUCCACUGACUCUUGUUAGUCCCAAAUGGCACCAUAUUCCCUAUAUAGUGCACGACUUUGGGCCUAUAGGGCCCUGGUCAAAAGUAGUCUACUAUCUAGGGAACAGAGUGCCAGUUUGGGACAUUAAACUUAGUUUUUCCUUCAGGCAUGUUGAUAACACACACAUCCUAUGGAACUAACUGCCUGCUGUGUAGAAGUUUAGAGAUUCUAUGACUAUGUUGCCUUUUAACACUUUUGUUUUAAUAAAAAAAUAAAUAAUUCUGAUGCUUUUGUACGAGUCGGGAGUGUAACUCUGUAUCAAUAUGGAAAUGGAGUGAAGGAGACAAGGAUAGAAUGAAAGGAGACAAGAUUAGGAUAAAAGGCCUCUUGACAUGUGAGAUGCAUCCUUAGUGAGAGAUCUUGAUUAGUUUAUAUAGGUUCUCUAGACGGCAGAGAAGUCUAGUGAUUAGAGCGUUGGACUUGCAACCGAAUCGAAUCCCUGAGCUGACAAGGUACAAAUCUGUCGUUCUGCCCCUGAACAAGGCAGUUAACCCACUGUUCCCCUGAACAAGGCAGUUAACCCACUGUUCCCCUGAACAAGGCAGUUAACCC
ensembl:lncRNA